rnacentral:lncRNA from 1 species
GUAACCCCAUCAACAGUUGUGAUUCCUAAAGGGACAUAUUUAUUAUCAAAAGUAAACUUAGAAGGUCCAUGCAAGGCUCCUAUUGAGAUUAAUGUUCAGGGCACUAUAAAGGCUCCGGCUGAUACUGGUGCUUUUAAGGACCCUAAUUGGGUUAGAUUCUAUAGUAUUGAAAAUUUCAAGAUGUGACGCCAUUUUAUGUUUAAUUAUUUCAUAUAAACAAAUUGAACCCCAAAAAGGAGAAUGAGAGAACAUUUUGUGGAACUGUAUAAAGAUUUUUUGAAAGGUGCGAUAUUUAUAUCGAGAUUAAGUGUAGUAUUCGGGUAUCUUGCGAUUAUCACUUAAAGAUCCCUAAAUUUGUUGAUGUGAUGUGUAGUUUUUGCCUUUAGAUUCUCAAAGGUUAGUCUCUUUUUCUUAUUUUUGUGUGUUUGGCUUGAAACUCUUUUUUUUCAUGGUUUCUUUUUUGAUUCGGGGUUCAUGUUGGAAAUGCAUUUAGAAAAGUAGCUAGGGUAGGAAAUUAGAGUUUUAAUUUCUAUAGUAAAAUGGGCAUUUAUCGUGACAUCUAAAGUAAUAAAUUUGAUCAAAUUAAAUCGUUGUGGUCCAAGGCUUAGGGGAUGUCCAAGUCGUAAGGAAAGUUUGGGAGAUGCCUUCAUUGUCUUGAUCAAUUCGAAUAGUAGUCCAAUGUCUUCAACCUUUCUACUGAACGAUUUUCUUCCCUAUUCUUGAACACUCAGGUGCUUGGAAAGUGGGAUGUAACUGAAAAAGUAAAGCACAAGACGUGAAUCGAGACUUCUCAAGCAACUAUGCAUCUAGCUCUUUGCGUCCUAUCCAAAACUGAAAAGAAGACGUAAACCGAGACUAAUCAAGGAGGCAUGUCAACUACCUCUUUGUGUUCCACCCAAUCGAAAACAACUCCUAUAAUUCAAUUAUUCUCUUUAGACGAAUGUCAUUAUAAUCUUAAAAAUCUAAAUUACAAAGUCUAAAAUGAUAGAAUUGAUUUGAGUUGAAAGAAAAUAGAAUCUAACUAAUAUUUCAAUAAAUUUCUACAAAUUUUCCUUCGUUUUUUUUACAUAAAUUGGGUAUUGAUAAAGAAACAUAUGCAAGAGUUAUAUUUGUAUCCGAUGUACGUAAAAUAAAUAAUAUAGAAGAACUAAAGGGACAUAUUUAUUAUCAAAAGUAAACUUAGAAGGUCCAUGCAAGGCUCCUAUUGAGAUUAAUGUUCAGGGCACUAUAAAAGGCUCCGGCUGAUCCUAGUGCUUUCAAGGACCCUAAUUGGGUUAGAUUCUAUAGUAUUGAAAAUUUCAAAAUGUCCGGCGGAGGAAUUUUUGAUGGUCAGGGAAGCAUUGCUUAUGAGAAGAAUAAAGAUCCCCACAAUCGUGCAUUUCGUGUCAAACUCCCCGUUGUCAGCAUUCUUCCCUCUUGCCAAAAUUUAUUUAUUCUCUUUCCUCUUAUUAUUAUCAAAAUAUAGUUAUAACUAACAUCCUUGUUUCGUGUGUUACUUUGUUAACUCCAAAAUUAAACAGAAUAUAAGGUUUGACUUUGUGACCAACGCAUUGAUACAAGAUAUAACUAGCAGAGACAGUAAACUAUUCCACGUUAAUGUUUUUGCAUGCAAAAACAUUACCCUCGAACGUUUCAAGGUAGAGGCACCGGCAGAUAGCCCAAACACAGAUGGGAUUCACAUGGGCAAAUCAGACUGGGUAAAUAUUAUUGGAUGUGACAUUAAAAUUGGUGAUGAUUGUAUUUCUAUCGGAGAUGGCACUAAAAAUUUGGACAUAAAAGAUAUAACUUGUUGACCAGGACAUGGUAUAAGUAUCGGUAGUCUUGGAAAGUACCCAAAUGAAGAGCCAGCUGAGGGAGUUAAAGUCACAAACUGCACCAUCACUAAUACUUCGAAUGGAGCUCGAAUCAAAACUUGGCCAGGCGAAUCGCCUGGGAUAGUAUCAGAUGUACAUUUUGAGGACAUUAUCGUGAAUAAUGUCUCUUCCCCUAUCCUAAUUGAUCAAAAAUAUUACCCAUGGAGUAAAUGCAAGAUAAAUGUAUGCACAUUCUUAUCAAAAUCCUAAUAGAGUGACAAUAUUUAAUUCAUCAUUGAAUCAUUGUUGUGUUGAUGCAGGAAGAAUCGAAAGUUAAACUAAGCAACAUUAGCUUCAAGAACAUCCGUGGCACAUCUGCGCUUCCAGAAGCUGUCAAGUUUAUUUGCAGCGGUUCUUCGCCAUGUCAAAAUGUGGAACUUGCAGACAUUGAUAUUAUGCACACCGGACCUGAACCCGCAACAUCCCAAUGUUUGAAUGUCAAGCCGAUAACUAGUGACAAAUUAAACCCGACUCCAUGUUCCAGCCCUGUCCCAAAAGCCCUAAGUGCCACUGCUUAAAGCAUACCAACAAAUCCAAUGCAAUUGUAAUUAAUAUAUUUAUUCAUAUUACAUAAAAAGAGUUCUUUUUCAUUUUAAUUCUUUUCCAUUAUUAAACUUUCACUACACCAAAACAGGCUUUUAGCGGCAUUUUUAGUGGCGUUUGAAUAAAAAACGCCGCUAAAAAUCGAGCAUUAGCGGCGCUUUAUAUAAAACGCCGUUAAAGAUCGAGAAUUAGCAGUGCUUUAUAUAAAAAGCCGCUAAAGAUCGGGCAUUAGCGACGCUUUAAGGAAAACGCUGCAAAAAACCUAAACCCAACGGCAUCGUUUUUUGACCUUUCAGGCCUUUAGCGGCGUUUUUGGAGAAGCGCCGCUAAUGCUCAGGGCUGUAGCGGCGUUUUUGGAGAAGCGCCGCUAAUGCUCAGGGGCUUUAAUGGCGUUUUUGGAGUAGCGUCGCUAAUGCUCAGGGCUUUAGCGGCGUUUUUUGGAAAAGCGCCGCUAAUGCUCAGGGAUUUAGCAGCGUUUUUGGAGAAGCGCCGCUAAUGCUCAGGGCUUUAGCGGCGUUUUUGGAAAGGCGCCGCUAAUGCUCAGGGGAUUUAGCGCCGUUUUUGGAGAAGCGCCGUUAAUGCUCAGGGCCUUAGCGGCGUUUUUGGGAAAAGCGCCGCUAAUGCUCAGGCUUUAGCGGCGUUUUUGUAAAAGCACCGCAAAAACAUUUUAUAUGUCUAAUUACUAUUUAAUUUGUUUAUUUUUAUUAAUUAAAAUUCAAUUUACUUUUAAUUAAAUAUUUGUUAAAAAUAGAUAAAUUUGAAACAAUGACACGUAGAAAUAAUUUGAAAUAAAAAACAUAGAAAAAUAUUUGUUAAAAAUGGAAAUAUUAAAAUAUUAUUAUUUAAAAUAAUUUUAAAGUUUGUACAAUAUUACUGAGUGUUUUUUAAUUUACGUAUUAAAAAUUUUCUUAUAUAAUCAUAAAAGAGAAUAUUAAUUUUAAAAUAUUGAAUUAAUUAUCUCUAUAGUUUAAGGUUUUUGGUUUAGGGUAUAUGGUUUAGAGUUUAAGGUUAAUGGAUUAUGGGUUUAGGGGUUAUGGUUUACAGUUUAUGGUUUAAGGUUUAGGAUUUAGGGGUUGUGGUUUAUGGUUUAAGGUUAUAGAUUAAGGGUUGAGGUUUAAGGUUUAGGGGUUAGGGGUAAGGGUUGAGGGUUAAGAGUUAGGAGUUUAGGAUUUAGGAUUUAGAUUAAUUAGAUUUUUAAUUUAUAUAUUAAAUAAUUUAUUAUAUAACUGUAAAAGAGAUAAUAUUAAAUUGAUAUAUUAAAAUUAUGAUUAUAGUUUAAAUUAUUUAUAAAUAAUUUAUAUAUUAAAUAAUUUAAUAUAUUAAAAUAAUGAUUAUAGUGUUCUUGGUACAUGACUAAUUGUUUUUUAAUUUAUAUAAUCGUAAAAGAGAUAGUAUUAUGGUUUAUGGUUUAUUGUUUAAGAGUUAAGAUUUAAAUUUUAGGGGUUAGGGGUUUAGGGUUUCAAGGUUAUGUUUUAUGAUUUAUGGUUUAGGGGAUAGGGUGUAGGGUUUAGAUUAAUUAGUAUUUUUUUAAUUCAUAUAUUAAAUAAUUUAUUAUAUAAUUGUGAAAGAGAUAAUAUUAAUUUUGAUAUAUUAAAAUUAUGAUGAUAGUUUAAACUAUUUAAGAGAUAAUCGAUAAACUUUAUAUAUAUUAAAUGGUUUAGGAUUUAAGGUUUACUUGAGAUUUGUUAAAUGAUGAAAUUUUAUACAAUCAAUAAUUAAUGCAUUUAUAUUUAAAAAAUAUUUAAUCGAAACCAUUUGAUAUAUUUAAAUAUUAGAUUUUUAAAAAAAUUGAUAAAUAAAUAAAUAAAAGUAACAUAUUGAUGUGGAUAGGUAACUAUCUAUUUUGGAUAGGACCAAAUUAUAACAAAUAAAAAUGAAAUAUAAGUACUAAAAUCAUUCCACAUCGAACAUCUAGCAAAAUAAUAGUAAUUAUAUUUUAGUUUGAAAAAAUAUCUCUAAUAAAAUGGAGAUUAGAUCGGAAAAGAAUAAUUUAAAAUCAUGAUUAAAGACUCAAUCUUUAAUAGAAAUUUGAUAUGUGAGAGAUUAAUUGUUUAUAUUGGAUAAUUCUAACUUAAUAAUUAAUUACAGUCAUUUUAUUAUUUGUUUUCUUAUUAAAAUAAAAAUAUUUAUUUUGAGAGUAAUUGAUUUUUUUUAUUUUAUAAAAAAUCAAUUUAUAAAAAAUAGUAAUAAAAAAUGUUUUAUAAAAUUACUUAACUAAUAAUUUUUAGUAGACAAAAUAAAAUUUUUUUAGCAGAGCAAAACGGUGUCAUUUUGUUUAAAAAAUAAUUUUUUACGGCGUUUUCUGAAAAAACACUGCAAAAAAACGCCGCAAAAAAUAAUUUUACUUAAUAAAACAGCGUCGUUUUGUUCAAAAUAAAAUCAUUUUUUAUGACGUUUUUAUCUAAAAGGUCACAAGUAAAAAACAAUAGCGGAAUUUUUAUAAAAAAACCCGCAAAAGGUAAUCUAAAUCCCGCUCAAUUUUUUGGUUACCUGCUCAUUACUCCAUCUUCUUCUCAUCUCCCAAAUAAAAGUUUCUAUUUGAUUCUUUUUCCCUUUUAAUCUCAAAAUUUGCCUCCAAAUUUCCCAUUUUCAGCAACACCAAGUAAAUACACCUACACCAAUUACAUUUCUUUUUCCUUUUCAUUUCACUGCACCGAAUUCACUCACCAUAGCUGCUCAUUUUCUCUCAAUCUGUUAGGGUUUCUUUUAAUUUAGGCUUUCAAGGGAAACAUACAGUUUCCUUUUAAUUUUACUGGUGAUUUCUAUGGAGACGGAAACCCUAGAUGACAAGAAACCGGAGGAAGAGGAGGUGAAAGAGAGACUGAAACUUCCCAUUGAAUAAGAAAUCAAUAGAAGGAAACAGAAAUCAGAUCUUUUUGAAUAAGAAGAAGAAAAAUCAGUACUUUCUUUCCAUUGAAGAACAAGAAGUGAAAGAGGAUAUCAAGGGAAGAUGUCAAGAGAAAAACUAAGAAGAGCCGCACUUCCUCCUGUUCAAGAGGUGUUCUUUUUUAUUUCUAUUGCUUUCAGUAUUUUUUUUUUUGAGAUUAUUUUCAGUGAAAGAAAAAAUUUUGGAAAUAACCCAUCAGCUUUUUUUCCUUUUCAUUUCACUGCACUAAAUUCACUCACCAUAGCUACUCCUUUAAUUUUACUGGUGAUUUUUGUGGCGACGGAAACCCUAGAUGAGAAGAAAUCGGAGGAAGAGGAGUUGAAAGAUAAAGGAAACGAAGAGGGGAGUAAGGCUGUUCGCUAAAAUAAAGAGAUAAAAAAAAAGGUUGAAGAAGGUGAAGGAUCUCUGUUCCAGUUUCUUUUUCUGUCUUUCCUUUAAAAAAAUAUUUUUUCUGAUGGGAUUUUAUGUUGAAUGCUAAACAUAACAUGAUUGUUCUGACGCCAUUAAUUUGUUGAACUUUUGAAGCUGUAAAGCAUACAGCUGUAGUCUUCCAUUCUCUGAUCAGUGACUUGUAUACAUUCUCUCAUUUCAGAAUAGUUCAUUUCUAGAACUGUUACCAAUUGUUCGACAACAUAUUAUUGAUGGUUUCACGCCGAAGGCCCUUGAUGUAUUUCGAAGAGAAUUUGAUUUCUUUGACAAAGUUACAUCCAUUUCUGGUGUCCUAUUUCCUCUUCCAAAGGAGGAACGCCGGGCUGGCAUCAGGAGGUAUUUCCCUUUAUUAAUGAUUACACUUAUGUCAUGUCUGAUUUCUUUCUGGCAAUUAAAUUGGUUGAGUGGCAUGCUAUUGGUUUAAGGAGUUGGAGAAAAUUCAAGUGCAGGGAGAUGACCUUUAUUUGCCAACUGCUCCUAAUAAACUUGUGCGUUAAUUGGACAGGACACAUUAUGGGUUGAAUUGCUUACACAUAAGCACAAAAUUCUAUCUUGUACCAAUAAUUUUGGGAAAAUUCGAAACCCCCUUUAUGUGCUUGGCUGCCCAUGUUGGCACAUUUAUGCACCAAUUAUGGGGCCAUCUCCCUUUUUUUCUCCUAUAAAAGACAAGGGAUACUAUGAGCACCAACCAACUCUGAAAGGGGGUUUCCUUUUUAGUAUGUUAUGGGAGUUUUGGAUUUUAGAAAUUGAUCUUUCUGCUGGAAUAAAAGCACCCUAACUCACCUUUUGAGAUUACAGUUGCAUUUAUGUAACAAAUUUCUAGUUAUUCAAUUUUAAGUUCCUAAUACAGUUCCAGGUUGUAUAAUUGAACUUGUUUAGCUUUCUUGUUUUGCUGGGUAAAAUGCAUUAUCUUGAUUUCUUACAUAAAGCCAUGCUGCCAUCUUUUUAUAAUUGACUUUUAUACAAGGUUGGAGAUGAUUGUCAACAAAAUGUUCUUGUUCUUCAAGUGAUAGCUCUUCUAAGAGACAUAUUUACAGCUGUUGGACUUAAUCUCUAUUUAUUUCCCUAUGGUGUUCUCCCAACUGGUCCAGAGAGAGGUAUUAUUGAGGUGAGCUUAUCUUCUAAUCUGUUAAGCUCUUGUUUUGCAUCUACAUUAAUUCUGUUACACUAGUGAAGGAACCAUUGAAUUGUGUAAUUCUUUUUGACAUAACAGCUAAAUUUUCAAGGAAAAAGACCUUUGAGGGAAUAUAAAUCUCCCACUGCUGAGUUGUUUUUGGUUUUGGUUUGUCUUAUUGUUGUCAUUCUUGCAAUUGUCUGUCCUAGCUCUUAGGUCUUUCACCAUCACAACAGAGAAUGACUUUCUAAGAAGGUUUUGUUAAGUGAAUUUAGGGAAUACCACUACUAUUUUCACCUUGCUCCCCCAAUAUGUACUAUACAAUCGAAUAUGAUGAUGUGGUUUGAUUUACUAGUGAAGUUACUUGUGCAUGUGUCUUGUUAAAGGAUAAUCAUUCCUAGGUACUGUAAUGAAUAUUUUACUUAAUAAGUUCCCUCUUUUUCUUAUAUAAAAAAAAUACAAAUUUAACUAUUUAAUAAUAGAAUAACAAAAAAGAUCAAAUUUUGAAAACAUCUAAAAAUUUUAUAAUUGAAUGAGUAUCCUUAUAGUAUAUAUUUUUUUAAAAAGUACAUAUUAUAAUUUUGAUUGAUAUUUGAAUAAAUAUUUAAAAAAAAUAAAGAAAGAGUUAGAAGAAAGGUGAGAGGCAUGUGAAGAUAUCUAAAAGGGAAUAACAAGUUGGGGACGUGAAAUGCAGUCAUUGAACAGAUUUAAGAAAUGGAAUAUUAUAAGAAUAGGUAUUAAUUAAUUAGUAUAUUAGCUGGAGUAGAAGCCACCAGUAUCUUGCGUUUCAAGUACAAGUACCUUUUAUUAUUAUUUUUUUAUUUUUUUUUCUAAAAUAUACACAAUCAUGGGACACGUAACCAAAUAAUUACGCCUCCCUUCACUAUUAUAUUAGGGUAAAAUAUAAGAACAGUGACUUAAUUAUAUAAUUUAUUCUAUUUUAGUCGCUUAAUUAUUCAUUUUUAUUUAAUUAUUUAAUUUUUUGAAAUUAAAUAUUUAAUAUAUUCUCUCAUUAGUUGUAGGUGAGUGAUUGAAAAGUUGUCGUGAGUUUUUUUAUUAGUCUAAUAACAAAUUUAAUCCUCUAAUAUUUAUAUGUUAUAUUAAUUUAAUUCUAAAUUUUAAAAAUUCAACAAUCCUUAAUUGUCAUAUAUAUAUUGUGCUUAUAUUUUUGUUUUAUAAUUAUAUAUUUUGAUAUGUUAAUAUAAAUUAGCAUCUGAUAUAUUGUGAGUAUUAAAUUUUAAUUCCACAAGUGGAAUUAAAACGUUAUCAGAUGUUUUAUUUUUAUAAUAUUGAUUUUCUUUUUAUACUACAAUCUAAUAACUUAUAUCACAUUAUGCAAAAGACACUCUAAUAGCAUAUUAUCAUUAUGACUUUUAAGUUUAAUGAAUGGCAUAUUAUCAUUAUGAUAUUAGCAAUAUAUGCAUACUGAACAGUAUUGCAGGCUUUGUCUUUGGUUAUAUUCCUUUUUGAUGAAGAGAGGCUUGAAUUUUAUGUUUAACUUUUUAACCUGUAUUUUGUUCUUGUUCUGUUUCUUGACUAUCAGGCAGCUAAUGGCUGUGAUAUUGAGCAUGUUGCGUAUGAAUUUUUCACACAAGCAUUUGUAUUAUAUGAAGAAGAAAUUGCGGUAAUUGUACUACUCAAAUUAGCUAUUGUUGAAGUCUGUUAUGCCUUUCUAAUUUGUGUGGGAUUUCAUGAAUGCUUAUUGAUCAUAGGACUGAGAGAAUUAAAUAAUACUGAGAUGCAAAGUGAUUCCACAAACCCUGAUAGUGUGGCGGAUGCUUUCCUUGCCAGCACCUUGCGUUACAUUCAGUUCCAAAAACAAAAAGGUGGUGUAGUGGGUGAGAAGUUCGAUUCCGUUAAACUGUAAAUUGUUGAGUCAUGUAAAGAAAGUAAUGCAUGGUAGUUAGAGAUGUAAAUAUGCGUUUAUUUUGGAUUUGGAUUUCAUAUUUGCUUGAUUAUAUCUUUUAUUAAACUGUAAAUUAUUGAGUCAUGUAAAUUGUAUUAUAUCUUUUAUUACCAAGAUUUACUUAAUUAAGAAAAUGCAUUGUAUUUUUUAUUACCUUGUAAUGUGUAUAAUCAUAGGCUUGUUCAACUAGUCAGUCUGUUGCUCAUAUGUAUUAUCUAUUUUAGUUUUGAUUCUAAUUUUUAAUUUUUACUUUAAUAUUUACAAUAACUUGCAUUCUAACUUUUGGAUUUUAAUUGUGUUAUUAAUUUAUUAUUUUAAAUUCUAAAACUAAAUUCAUUAAUUUUUAUAUUUAAUUUUAAAGUUAAAAUUUUCAUAGAAAAUUUAAUUUAAAUAAUAUUUUUUAUCUUUAAAAGUAUAUUUAAAAUUCAAAUUUAAAAAAUAAAAUAAAAUAAAAUAUUUAUCAUAAAAAUAAAUAUUAUUUGAUUAAAUAUAUAUUUUUUAAAGGUUAUGUUUUUAGCGGUGUUUUUGCGAGAAGCGUCGGUAAAGGUUUAUUCUUUAGCGGCGUUUGUGCUAAAAGCGUCGCUAAAGGUAAUGUUUUUUUAGCGGCGUUUGUGGGAAAAAGCGCCGCUAAAGGUCAUGGUUUUUAGCGGCGUUUGUGGGAAAAGCGCCGCUAAAGGUCUUGGUCUUUAACGGCGUUUGUUGUAAAAGUGCCGCUAAAGGUCUUGGUCUUUAGCGGCGUUUAUUUCUAAAAACGCCGUUAAAGUUAGCGAUGCUGUCAUUAGUGGCGUUUUCUGUGACGCUUCUCAAAGCGCCACUAAAAGUAUUAGCGGUGCUAAAAAGCGCUGCUAAAAGCCUGUUUUGGUGUAGUGUUUUUCCAUGAAUUCAAUGCUUUUAAUACACACAUCAAUACAAAGAGCCGAAAUGUGAUAAAAUUUAGUUAAUUUAAACUAAUAACAAAACCACCACUGAGUUUCUAUAUUGAAUUAGAAUUAAUUAUUGAAAUUUUCUUUAUCUACGUAUAAUUUUUUAUAAAAACCAUCUUCCAACAUAGCAGUUUUAAGGAAAAAUAAAAUAUUAAAUUUGAGAUUUUAAUUAAAAUGAAAGUUCGUCAUCCAAAUUUUUUGAACAACAUAUUCCUGUAUUAUUUGUGUGCUUAAACAUAUGAUUAUAUUUGUGCAUUGGUUUGUUUCUUUUUCUGUUGACGUAACAUUUUUCAUGAAAGAAGAUGUGAUGGUUACCAUGAGAUAUGAUACUAUCAUUUUGGGUGAACGGUUAUAAAUGAAAGGGAUUGGGGAUAUCCUUUGAGGCUAUAGCACAUACGAAAAAUUCUUUGGACGAGCACUUGGUGAGUUGUUUUCAUAAUGAGUUAUAAUAAGAAGAGGUCGGUCAUAGCACUUAAGUACAAACUAUUUGAGCCCUAAUUAUAUAUCCAGUGGGCCCCUCUAUUAGCUCUAUACAACCUUGAUGGUUUGCAUUUGAAUUGAUGAGCUGAAUAAAUAAAGUUGAUGAAUUACAGAAAAGGAUCGAAUGUAUCACUAUCCGUAGUGAAUGGAAUUUCUCGUUAUAAAAGAGAGAUGACCUAAAGACUAAAUUAAUUUAUUCGAAUUAUUAUUUAAUUAAUAGUAAUCACUGAACCGAUGUUUGAAGUAAAAAUUAAAUUAAUUAAUUAACGCAAUCUGGUUGAACAAAAUAAUUAGAUUCAUUUACUCAUAGAUUCUAGUGUGGUAAAUAUGUCAUGAAUUUAACAGAAUUAGAACUAGGUUUGGAAAAUAAUUUAAUUGUGUGAAUUAGUAAAAUUUAUUUCAAUUAAUUAAUUAAAUUAUUAAUAUUUUGGGAAAUAGAAAAUUUUUUAUUUGGUUGGUUAAAUUAUAUGCGUCGAUUAAAUUACUAAAUGACACAUAUAAUUACACCAAAUACAUGGGAUAGACCCGAUGACCCAGCUCACGUAAGAUGGGCGACAACCCUAUCUCUAAAGAGAGGGUGUUGAAGUCCAUACAUAUUCCUACUAGAGAAUUAUGUGUAUUCUCAAUUAAAAUGUUAUUAUAUUUUUUCUUCUUGUUGUUCGACCAACACUCUGGCGAUUUUUCUAUAAAUAGAGAGCAUAGGCUAGGUCCACCACACACGAUGUGAAGCAUCGACAUCGUAAAACUUUAUUGAGAUUUAAUUCAAAAAAAAUUCUAAAUAUGAAUGUUUACUUUUUAAGUUUUUGGCCUGUAAAGGGACAUCAAUAUUCGCCACUCCAACAUCAAUAGAAAGUUUGCAUAGCUUUCAUCCGUUCAUGGAUUAGAGCCUACCCUUUAACUAGCCGAGGUUUUUGAAUAGUUGAGAAGAUCGUGUGGGUAGAAUAUUGAGAAACAACUUAGGCCGCCUAAUCCAGAGCACAAGUAUGAUUUUCGUGAAAGGGUUUGCCCCUAUAAAUAUGGCAACUGCUUUAGUUUAGAAAUUUUUAAUUUUUUUGUUGCUCAAAAAAAUCAUUUUCUAAACGAAUGUUUCCAACACAAUCAAGAAUGAUCUCUAAUUUCUAAAUGGAAUAGGUCAGUAAUAAUUACUAGGUCUUUACAGUCCACAGCCAAAACUAGCGCUUUUCUAAUCUCCCAAGCUUCUUCGACAAACUUGUACAACGUCUUUCUUUUGGAAUGUUCGAAUCUAUUGGGGACUCAUUAACCACAUUAUUCCAUAAUGACGUGACACCAUUUUAUGUUUACUUAUUACAUAUAAAAAAAAUUGAACCCCAAAAAGGAGAAUGAGAGAAAAUUUUGUGGAACUGUAUAAAGAUUUUUAGAAAGGAGCGAUAUUUACAUUGAGAUUAAGUGUAGUGUUUGGGUAUCUUGCGAUUAUCACUUAAAGAUCCCUAAAUUUGUUGAUUUGAUUUGUAGUUUUUUCUUUUAGAUUCUCAAAGGUUAGUCUAUUUUUCUUAUUUUUGUGUGUUUGGCUUGAAACUUUUUCUUUCAUGGUUUCUUUUCUAAUUCAGGGUUCAUGUUGGAAAUGCAUUUAGAAAAGUAGCUAGGGUAGGAACAUUAGAGUUUUAAUUUCUAUAGUAAAAUGGGCAUUUAUCGUGACUUCUAAAGUAAUAAAUUUGAUCAAAUUAAAUCGUUAUGGUCCAAGGCUUAGGGGAUGUCCAGGUCACAAGGAAAGUUUGGGAGAUGCCUUCAUUGUCUUGAUCAAUUCGAAUAGUAGUCCAAUGUCUUCAACCUUUCUACUGAACGAUUUUCUUCCCUAUUCUUGAACACUCAGGUGCUUGGAAAGUGGGAUGUAACUGAAAAAGUAAUGUACAAGACGUGAAUCGAGACUUCUCAAGGAGCUAUGCAUCUAGCUCUUUGCGUCCUAUCCAAAACUGAAAAGAAGACGUAAACCGAGACUAAUCAAGGAGGUAUGUCAACUACCUCUUUGUGUUCCACCCAAUCGAAAACAACUCCUAUAAUUCAAUUAUUCUCUUUAGAAGAAUGUCAUUAUAAUCUUAAAAAUCUAAAUUACAAAGUCGAAAACGAUAGAAUUGAUUUGAGUUGAAAGAAAAUAGAAUCUAACUAAUAUUUCAAUAAAUUUCUACAAAUUUUCCUUCGUUUUUUUUACAUAAAUUGGGUAUUGAUAAAGAAACAUAUGCAAGAGUUAUAUUUGUAUCUGAUGUACAUAAAUAAAUAAUAUAGAAGAACUAAAGUCCAACUAGGACAUUUUUAACCCCAUGGCCAGCGACUCCAAGAGAUAAUUCUCUUUGUGUGCGGAAGCACACUUACCUUAGUGGUUUGUUCUCCAGUUUAAUUAUACGAGCUUACCUCUCUUAACUUAAAUAAGAAAUCAAUACCAUAUGAUUAUCUAACCCAAUAGCAUAUAUUCUUCCAUGAAUUAAGUUUUUUGAAAUUAAUUAUUUCAUUAAAUUAAAUUAUUUCCACUACUUAAUUUACAAAACCCCAUUCAAUUUUUCUUAGAAUCAGGAAAGCUUUUCCAUACUAGAAUUUACAUGCAAAUUAAUUUAAUUAUCUGAACAAAAUAUAACUACGUUAACUACUUAAUUUAAUCCUCACUUUGGACUUAUUUAUUUAAUUUGUUCAUUGAAUUAAAUAACAAACCGACGGAAUUAAAUUAAUUCCGUGUCAUCUUUUCCAUUCUCAUGAAAUCGCAUUUACAUGGAAAAGUAUUUCAUUCCAUCUAAUUCUAAUGAAUCAUUUUCAUCCAUACAUUCAAUCAGUUCUUUUAUGCAAUCUACUUAGAGUUAUAUUAAGCUAGCAGAGGGAUCGACCGUACAUAAAUAAUUAGGGCUUAAAUAAAAUCUUAAUUAGAACUUAUUUAGUUGUAGACUCACUCUACUAAAAGUACCAUGAUCGAUCUCCCCAAUAUAUAAUGUUACCAAAGCUAAGCUUGUAAAGCUUUGUCCAUUUACCUUGUCAAAUGCAUGUUACUAUCAUAGAAUGCCGAUCAUCUAUUUAGGUUCAAUAUUUUUGCACUAAUUCGAUCCAUUUAUCUCAUGGUCAGUUUGUAUCUUCUAGAAUGAGGGGUGAGGAUGAGGGUAAAGGUGAACGUGAGGAUUCAUAAAAGGGUGAUAAUGAAAGGGGUGGUGUUGGUCAUGAAAAGUCAUACCUUGUGAAAUUCGAUACGUGCUAGAUGGGGAUGAUGAUAAGAAAUUACAAGAUGCUUGAGAGAAGUUGAGGAAAUUAAAAAUAAAAGAAAAUCUAUUUGGAAAGAGAAGUCAAAUGGCCAUCAGGUUUCACUAAUAAUUGUUACGUGGGUGAAGUUUAGGCUGAAGUCCAGGGCGAAUGUUAGCUCGACCAGGUAUUAUAGGGCCAGGAAAACAAUGAUUGAAAAGAGUGCUAGAAACCACCAGAAUCGCUUUCGACAAUAUGGUGUGAACCUUCGUCAAACACCAAACCACAUUACUGUAUCAACAAUUUUUAUUGAAUAAUUAGGAUUAUACUUUUCGAAAUAACAUUGAUAAAUUUAACAGAACUUAAUUAUAUUCGCCACCAUCUAGUUAAGAUAUUAUUUUGAAGAUAAAAUGUAAAAUAAUGUUUUUCAAUCUUUCCAUAAUAAAAUCCUUUCACAUAGUUUAAAUUAUUAAAGUUGUGAAAAAAUUAACCACAAAACUAUCUAACCGUGCUAAGUUGAUAUUAAAGAAACAAGCUAAUCAUAGAUAUUGAAGCUUGGCCAUAUGACUUUUCCACAUUGAUUAAAUAGUAAUAUAUUUGAUUGGUUGUAAUUUUCUCAAAAUUUCUAUAUAUUUGGAAAAAAACAAAAGGAAAAGCCAUUCUUCGUGUAAUUUCAAAACCAAAUAAAAACAUGGCACCACACCUUAAUAUUGUUCCUUCCAUGUUUGUGCUUUUAUUAUUAUUCAUUUCAGCCUCUAAAGUUCAAUCAGGCGCUAUUGAUGUUGUUGCCAAGUUUGGCGCAAAAGCUGACGGGAAAACGGAUUUGAGUAAGGCAAGUUGAAUUACUCUUAACUUUGCACCCAAAGGUGAAAAUAUGAACAAAAAUUAUAUUUCAAACUGAUGUCUUUAUUCAUUUCAUUUUAGCCAUUUUUGGAUGCUUGGAAAGAAGCAUGUGCCUCUGUAACCCCAUCAACAAUUGUGAUUCCUAAAAGGACAUAUUUAUUAUCAAAAGUAAACUUAGAAGGUCCAUGCAAGGCUCCUAUUGAGAUGAAUGUUGAGGGUACUAUAUAGGCUCCGGAUGAUCCUAAUGCUUUCAAAGACCCUAAUUGGGUUAGAUUCUAUAGUAUUAAAAAUUUCAAAAUGUUCGGCGGAGGAAUUUUCGAUUGUCAGGGAAGCAUUGCUUCUGAAAAGAACAAAGAUCCUCACAAUCGUGCAUUUCGUGUCAAACUUCCCGUUGUCAGCUUUCUUCCCUCUUGCAAAAAUUUAUUUAUUCUCUUUCCUCCUGUUAUUAUCAAAAUAUAAUUAUAACUAACAUCUUUCUUUCGUGUGUUACUUCGUUAACUCCAAAAUUAAACAGAAUAUAAGGUUUGACUUUGUGACCAACGCAUUGAUACAAGAUAUAACUAGCAAAGACAGUAAACUAUUCCACGUUAAUGUUUUUGAAUGCAAAAACAUUACCCUCGAACGUUUCAAGGUAAAGGCACCGGCAGAUAGCCCAAACACAGAUGGGAUUCACAUGGGCAAACCAGACGGGGUAAAUAUUAUUGGAUGUGAGAUUAAAACUGGUGAUGAUUGUAUUUCUGUUGGAGAUGGCACUAAAAAUCUGGACAUAAAAGAUAUAACUUGUGGACCAGGACAUGGUAUAAGUAUCGGUAGUCUUGGAAAGUUCCCAAAUGAAGAGCCAGUUGAGGGAGUUAAAG